rnacentral:rRNA from 2 species
UACGGCGAGUGANCGGCNAAGCUCAAAUUUGAAAUCUGGCACUUUCAGUGUCCGAGUUGUAAUUUGAAGAAGGUAACUCUGGAGUUGGCCCUUGUCUAUGUUCCUUGGAACAGGACGUCACAGAGGGUGAGAAUCCCGUGCGAUGGGGUGUCCAAUUCUAUGUAGAGUGCUUUCGAAGAGUCGAGUUGUUUGGGAAUGCAGCUCUAAGUGGGUGGUAAAUUCCAUCUAAAGCUAAAUAUUGGCGAGAGACCGAUAGCGAACAAGUACAGUGAUGGAAAGAUGAAAAGAACUUUGAAAAGAGAGUGAAAAAGUACGUGAAAUUGUUGAAAGGGAAGGGCUUGAGAUCAGACUCGGUAUUUUGCGAUCCUAUCCUUCGUGGAGAGGUUUCACUUGCAGCUUACCGGGCCAGCAUCGGUUUGGAUGGUAGGAUAAUGACAUUGGAAUGUGGCUUUUCGGAGUGUUAUAGCCUUUGUUGAUACUGCCUAUCUAGACCGAGGACUGCGUCUUUGACUAGGAUGCUGGCAUAAUGAUCUUAAGCCGCCCGUCUU